UUCUUCUGAAGGUCCUGAGUUUGAAAGACCCCCGAAGGGAGACCCUUACUCAGACACUCAAGUCCCGGGACAGCCGCGUACCCAAGAAGACACUGAGACCA
rnacentral:pre_miRNA from 7 species